rnacentral:rRNA from 1 species
GAUGAACGCUGGCGGCGUGCCUAAUACAUGCAAGUCGAGCGAACAGACGAGGAGCUUGCUCCUCUGACGUUAGCGGCGGACGGGUGAGUAACACGUGGAUAACCUACCUAUAAGACUGGGAUAACUUCGGGAAACCGGAGCUAAUACCGGAUAAUAUAUUGAACCGCAUGGUUCCAUAGUGAAAGACGGUUUUGCUGUCACUUAUAGAUGGAUCCGCGCCGCAUUAGCUAGUUGGUAAGGUAACGGCUUACCAAGGCAACGAUGCGUAGCCGACCUGAGAGGGUGAUCGGCCCCACUGGAACGGAGACACGGUCCAGACUCCUACGGGAGGCAGCAGUAGGGAAUCUUCCGCAAUGGGCGAAAGCCUGACGGAGCAACGCCGCGUGAGUGAUGAAGGUCUUCGGAUCGUAAAACUCUGUUAUUAGGGAAGAACAAAUGUGUAAGUAACUAUGCACGUCUUGACGGUACCUAAUCAGAAAGCCACGGCUAACUACGUG